rnacentral:lncRNA from 1 species
AUCUCUCAUGGUAAUAUGAUAGAGGGACUUUUUCACCUAGAGACGAAUAGUGGGUUGCACUGUAUUGAAAGCAGGAAUACCUCAAAACCCAAAAGGGCUAGAGAAGAAGUUAACCAAGAAAAGAUGUGGCAUCUUAAACUUGGACAUGUGAACCUUGAUAAGAUUCGCAAGAUGUCGAAAGACGGAUACAUCCACCCAUUAGGUAAUGACCGGAUGGGUACUUGUGAAUGUUGCUUGAA